rnacentral:rRNA from 1 species
ACUCCUACGGGAGGCAGCAGUAAGGAAUAUUGGACAAUGGGCGCAAGCCUGAUCCAGCCAUGCCGCGUGCAGGAUGAAAGUGCUAUGCACUGUAAACUGCUUUUACUUGGGAAAAAACCCCUGGUUUCCACCGGGGCUGAUUGUACCGAGAGAAUAAGGGACGGCUAACUUCGUGCCAGCAGCCGCGGUAAUACGAAGGUCCCAAGCGUUAUCCGGAUUUAUUGGGUUUAAAGGGUGCGUAGGCGGAUUAUUAAGUCAGUGGUGAAAGCCCCAAGCCUAACUUGGGAACUGCCAUUGAUACUGAUGAUCUUGAGUACAUUUGAGGUGGGCGGAAUGUGUCAUGUAGCGGUGAAAUGCUUAGAUAUGACACAGAACACCGAUUGCGAAGGCAGCUCACUAAACUGUAACUGACGCUGAGGCACGAAAGCGUGGGGAGCAAACAGGAUUAGAUACCCUGGUAGUCCACGCCCUAAACGAUGAUCACUCGAUGUGUGCGAUAUACUGUACGCGUCUGAGCGAAAGCAUUAAGUGAUCCACCUGGGGAGUACGACCGCAAGGUUGAAACUUAAAGGAAUUGACGG